UCAUGUGCUAAGAUUGUAACAUGAGAUUUUGUAUCUAAUAUGCUAUAAUUCUGAUAUGGCUCAUAUUCUCUAGCUUCUAGCAAGAGGAAGUUAUACAUCUGACUACUCAUUGCUGAUGUACUAAUCUCUGACUCUGAUCUUUCUUUACUUUUGGUGCGCAGGUGCUGUUGCUGGUGGAACCGAAUCCUACAUCCUGGGGCUGCAACAUCCCGUGCAAUGGUGUUCUGUUAGCUUUUGGUAGAACUUCAAAUCAAACUUUGCUGCUGCUGGUUCAUAUUCUUGAUGAAAUCCACCUUUGUUGUUUCUGGUUAACUAUGUGGUCUUGGAAUGUUACUAUUAGUUUUCAUAGAUGGAAAUGUAUGUGAUGGAAAUAUUAUUCAUGUCAAUUUCGGCCUGAAUGGGUUGUGUAUAAAGCUAAAUCUGAAUAACUAAUAAUUAAUUUUGGGCUGAAAUUAGGCCCAACUUAGGGCCC